ensembl:lncRNA
CCGGAGCGAGGCGCCGCCGGGGCCCAGGGAGAGCUUGGGGCCGCGGGAACAGAGAGGAAACUUCCUUUUCGGGCCCCACUGCCCAGGCGAGCUUUGUGCCGCGUCGCUCAGAGCCUUUGAUUUCUGCACCUCCAAAUUCUAGCUGGAGAUCACGGAGUUUGACCAAAAAUGAAUGAUGACCUUCUUUACAGAAAGACUCUCGCUUGGGUAUAAGACACCUGCAUACACUUGUAGCAGUUUCUCCUCAAAGGCAGUAAUUUCUGAGAAGGACCGACUCUAGGAGGUGACACUGCCGGCACUUAGGGACUGAAGUCUUCACGGAAAACAACUAGGAUCAAACCCAGGACAGC